rnacentral:ncRNA from 1 species
CAUAUGUAUGUAUCAUUAAGGUAUGUAUUUGUUAGAUAUAAGAAUAAAAUAAAUAUAAUUGAAUUAUAACAAAGAAGAAACACAUAAAAUAUGUGUAUUAUCAAUCGAGUAUCUGACCUAUCAGCUUUUGAUGUUAGGGUAUUGACCUAACAUGGCUAUGACGGGUAACGGGGAAUUAGAGUUCGAUUCCGGAGAGGGAGCCUGAGAAAUAGCUACCACAUCUAAGGAAGGCAGCAGGCGCGUAAAUUACCCAAUUCUAAAAAAGAGAGGUAGUGACAAGAAAUAACAAUACAAUAUCGAAAAAUGAUUUUGUAAUUGGAAUGAUAGGAAUUUACAAGGUUCCUAGAGAAACAAUUGGAGGGCAAGUCUGGUGCCAGCAGCCGCGGUAAUUCCAGCUCCAAUAGCAUAUAUUAAAAUUGUUGCAGUUAAAACGUUCGUAGUUGAAUAUUAAAGAAUCCGAUGUUUCAUUUAAACUGGUUUGGGAAAACCAAAUAUAUUAUAUAUUUUGCUUUGUUCAAAAUAAGGUUUUCUAAUAAAUUAUGUUUUUAUCAGAUAUGACAGAAUCUUUUUUAAAAUCUCUUCAAUAUGCUUUUAUUGCUUUUGAGAGGUUUUGUUACUUUGAGUAAAAUUAAGUGUUCAUAACAGACGGGUAGUCAUGAUUGAGUUCAUUGUGUUUGAAUACUACAGCAUGGAAUAACAAAUAUGAAUAAGCUAAUUAUUUUUUUUUUUUCAUUAUUUUUUUUGAUAUUCUUAUUAGCUUAGUUACGAUUAAUAGGAGUAGCUUUGGGGGCAUUCGUAUUCAGAUGUCAGAGGUGAAAUUCUAAGAUUUUCUGGAGACGGACUACUGCGAAACAUUUGCCUAAUCUAUUUCCAUUAAUCAAGAACGAAAGUUAAGGGAGUGAAGACGAUCAGAUACCGUCGUAAUCUUAACCAUAAACUAUACCGACUAGGUGUUGGAUGAAUAUAAAAAAUAUAUAAAUAUGUAGCAUUUCUUAGGGAAUGUUGAUUUUAUAUUAGAAUUGCUUCCUUCAGUACCUUAUGAGAAAUCAAAGUCUUUGGGUUCUGGGGCGAGUAUUCGCGCAAGGGAGAAAGUUAAAAGAAUUGACGGAAGGCACCACCAGCGUGGAGCUGCGCUUAUUUGACUCAACACGGGAAACUCACUAGUUA